rnacentral:rRNA from 1 species
GGAGUCUGGACCGUAUCUCAGUUCCAAUGUGGGGGACCUUCCUCUCAGAACCCCUAGCCAUCGUCGCCUUGGUGGGCCGUUACCCCGCCAACCAGCUAAUCAGACGUGAGCCCAUCCUUCAGCGAUAAAUCUUUGGUAUCCAGAUGAUGCCACCCGGAUACAUUAUGCGGUAUUAGCAGUCGUUUCCAACUGUUGUCCCCCUCUGAAGGGCAGGUUGCUCACGCAUUACUCACCCGUCCGCCACUAAGUCAAAUCCGAUUCUUGACGAAUCUCAAACCGGAAGUGCUUCGUUCGACUUGCAUGUGUUAGGCACGCCGCCAGCGUUCGUCCUGAGCCACGGAUCAAACUCU